rfam:Equus caballus chromosome 14, whole genome shotgun sequence.
CCAAAGGCUCUUUUAAGAGCCACCACCUGCUCAAAAAGGGUGCUGU